GAUUCUAUGGUGUAGUGGUUAGCACUUUGGAUUUUGAAUCCAGCGAUCUGGGUUCGACUCCCAGUCGGACCU